AUCGAACGCUGGCGGCAGGCCUAACACAUGCAAGUCGAGCGAGCGGCGGACGGGUGAGUAAUGUAUGGGGACUGCCCGAUAGAGGGGGAUAACUACUGGAAACGGUAGAUAAUACCGCAUACUAUCGGAUAACCCAUAUGGGACGAGCUAGUAGGGGAGGUAAUGGCUCACCUAGGCGACGAUCCACAGCUGGUCUGAGAGGAUGCUCAGCCACACUGGGACUUAGAGACGGCCCAGACGCCUACGGAGGCAGCAGGGGGGAAUAUUGGACAAUGGGGGCAAGUCUGAUGCAGCCAUGCCGCGUGUAUGAAGAAGGCCCUAGGGUUGUAAAGUACUUUCAGUCGGGAGGCGUUACCGACAGAAGAAGCACCGGCUAACUCCGUGCCAGCAGCCGCGGUAAUAC
rnacentral:rRNA from 1 species